rnacentral:rRNA from 1 species
UACGUAGGGGGCGAGCGUUGUCCGGAGUUACUGGGCGUAAAGCGCGCGCAGGCGGUUCGCCAAGUCUGGAGUGACAGUUCCCGGCUUAACUGGGAAAGGCCUUCGGAAACUGGUGAACUUGAGGGGCUUAGAGGGAGACGGAAUUCCAGGUGGAGCGGUGAAAUGCGUAGAGAUCUGGAGGAACACCAAAGGCGAAGGCAGUCUCCUGGAGGCUUCCUGACGCUCAGGCGCGAAAGCCAGGGGAGCGAACGGG